rnacentral:rRNA from 1 species
UAAAAAGCUCGUAGUUGAAAUUGUGUCCUGCGGUGUCGGUCUACCGAAUGCGGUACGACCGUCACGUCUGCGGGGCUUCUCGCCGGUGCGUCCACCGCCGGCGUGUUGCGGUCGUCCUAACGGGUCGGCCGCGCACCGAGGCGGGCCGUCGCGGCUGUUUACUUUGAACAAAUUAGAGUGCUCAAAGCGGGCUAACACUUGCCUGAAUAUUGUACGCAUGGAAUAAUAGAAUAGGACCUCGGUUCUGUUUUGUUGGCUUUCUGAUACCAGAGGUAAUGAUUAAUAGGGACAACUGGGGGCAUUCGUAUUGCGACGUUAGAGGUGAAAUUCUUGGAUCGUCGCAAGACGGACUAAAGCGAAAGCAUUUGCCAAAGGUGUUUUCAUUAAUCAAGAACGAAAGUUAGAGGUUCGAAGGCGAUUAGAUACCGCUGUAGUUCUAACCAUAAAUGAUGCCAGCCAGCGAUCCGCCGAAGUUUCAUAAUUUUAACCCGGUGGGCAGCUCCCGGGAAACCAAAGCUUUCGGGCUCCGGGG